UUUCCUCUUGUUAUAUCUUAUUCACUCUUUCUCCAUCAUACAAACAAAAGCGCACAGAAAAUCAACGAGCAAUAAAACUUAAGCAAUGCACGACAAUCAUUAUCAAGUCAAAAGCAUCUGCAAAAGAUUUAAACCCAACCAUCUAUUGAAAUUUUUCAUCAAACUAGGCCAAUGUGAAGAGCACAUGCUACUUGGAAACAAAAUUAUCAACUAUGUUUCGGUACUGCUUUGCAGAUUUGCAUCGGUGCUACUUUGCAUGUUUGUACUGGUAGUUCUUUGAGAAUUUGCACUGGUUCUUUUCUGAAUGCAUGCAGGAUAUGCACCAUAACGCCAUAUGCCGACAUCCAAACUGAUCUGCCCAUAAGAACCGAAGAAACUAUUUGGAAUUACAAGAAAAUCGUCAGCAUGAGGAUCAUCAUCAUUAACCUUUUGAAUAUUCUUUGUAAAGGACUGAAAUCUAAGAUUACUUCCCUCCAUUUUUGCUGCAAUCUCAUAGUAGUAUCCCCCAUUUGAUGAAGAGGGAGCAAUACAACUAAUAGUGAUCAAAUUUCCAAGGAUUUCUGCUCUGUUGUUCAGAAUAAAUACAACACCUUUCUCUUCUUGAAGAAUAUGGGAUUUGUCAUUAAGGGUAAAAAAUACAGGAAAGGUGUUAUUAUAUUGGAAGUGUAUAGUAGAACCCUUGUGUUUACUGCUAAAAUGCCGGUACAACUGCCUGGAUGAGCCAAUAAAACUGCAACCCAAUAGAGGGCAUGAACAUGGUGUUUGGUUGCAGGUCUUAUCAUGGUCAAAUUUCUUGCUGAAUAUAACCAUUUCUCCACAACCGUACAUCAGAUUUUGGCAUGGUAGUUUCACUGAUUCAAGAACCUUUUCAAUGGCCCGGCAACGAUUAUAGCCAAUAGGCAAAGAGCAGGAAGGACAUUUAUGUGCAAUUUUUUUGCAGCAGGAAGAGCAAGCUGUAUGCCCAUUUUCACACUGAUUUGCCCAGAAAACACCAAAAACAGUUAUGACACAAAAUAUAUGAUACAAAAUAAAUAUAUAUUAAAGGAGAUUAAAAAAGGAUAAAAUUGAGGCUUAAGAUCCAAAUACUACAAAUUUAACUUUAUAAAAGUAAAAUAGCACCAAAUCCAAUCUUUCUAGAACUAAAAUACCACCAAAUUCUAACAUCAAUAUCUAUGGAUCUCUACUAAUACCCAGCGUUAACUUUGGGCAACCUUUCCAAACGAACCCUCUAGCAAAUAAAUCACUAAAUGUAGGAUUGCCACCAACUCCAAACAAAGAAUAUGCAAGACAACUUUGUCCCUCUAACAAUUGGCUAGCAAACAACAAGAUAAUAAUUUUUGCAGCUUCACCAUCAGAUUUAUGCAUACAUUAUCAGUUUGUAUAAUGCUCCCAGUAAAAUUAUCAAACAUAAGUCUCUAAUAUCCCUUGAAAUGUAUCUGCCUUAGAUGCUGCUUCAUGCACAAAUGAUAAAUCUACUUCAUAGGAAAGAUACAAGUAACUAGAUCUGGCCAUGGUCCGGUUCAUACCCAUAACCGGACUGGAGCUCCAUGGGUCCAAAUCGGAACUGGUCAGUUCAAAUUGGCAUUUUUUUUCCUUCUAAAAAAAAAUUCAACCGCUGAAUUGUCUCAAACUGGAGCAGAACCAAAAGCAGAACCGGGGGGCCCAGUCUUGGGCCCUUGGUUCCAAAGAAAUGGAACCAGCCUGUGGCCAAGGCUACCAGUAACUCUCCUUGCAAAAUAUUAUAAUUUUAGUAGAACUUGAGUUCAAACUUCUUAAGCUAAGCAUUUUCUCCCACCCUCAACCCCUGACUCUAUAUGGUAAAUCCAUUAGAUUCACCGCUGAAUAUGCAUAAUGGACCUUCAAAGCUUGGGCUUAUAAUAUAUUUAACCAAACAAUCCUAUUAACCAACAACCUCGGCACCACCAAGUCUAGUGGUAAGCCUUUGGUUUUGGAUGUAUCCAACCCUAGUUUGAUCACCCACAACAAUACAUUGAGACUAAAUAUUGUCUCUGCUUGGCGUGAAGGCCAUUGCUUAUCUAUGGUUGUCCACAGUCUCAACAUCUUAGGACUAUCACAAGCUCGGUAGUAGGUCCCUUUCUAUAAAAGAGAGCCCUCAAUUUUUGCAAUUUG
rnacentral:misc_RNA from 1 species